rnacentral:sRNA from 1 species
UUCGAAGGAUCACCGCCUAAGUACUCCACGUCCUGUGGAAACGGCGGUGCUAGUACCUCCUGUACG